rnacentral:rRNA from 1 species
AUACGUAGGUGGCAAGCGUUGUCCGGAAUUAUUGGGCGUAAAGCGCGCGCAGGUGGUUCCUUAAGUCUGAUGUGAAAGCCCCCGGCUCAACCGGGGAGGGUCAUUGGAAACUGGGGAACUUGAGUGCAGAAGAGGAUAGUGGAAUUCCAAGUGAAGCGGUGAAAUGCGUAGAGAUUUGGAGGAACACCAGUGGCGAAGGCGACGGGCUGGCCUGUAACUGACGCUGAGGCGCGAAAGCGUGGGGAGCAAACAGGAUGAGAUACCCUGAUAGUCCACGCUGUAAACGAUGAGUGCUAAGUGUUGGGGGGUUUCCGCCCCUCAGUGCUGCAGCUAACGCAUUAAGCACUCCGCCUGGGGAGUACGGUCGCAAGACUGAAACUCAAAUGAAUUGACGGGG